rnacentral:rRNA from 1 species
UACGUAGGGUGCAAGCGUUGUCCGGAAUUAUUGGGCGUAAAGAGCUCGUAGGCGGUUUGUCACGUCGGAUGUGAAAACCCGAGGCUUAACCUCGGGCCUGCAUUCGAUACGGGCUGACUAGAGUUCGGUAGGGGAGACUGGAAUUCCUGGUGUAGCGGUGAAAUGCGCAGAUAUCGGGAGGAACACCCGUAGCGAAGGCGGCACUCUGGGCCGGAACUGACGCUGAGAAGCGAAAGCAUGGGGAGCGAACAGG